AGGACGAACGCUGGCGGCGUGCUUAACACAUGCAAGUCGAACGGAAAGGCCCUUCGGGGUACUCGAGUGGCGAACGGGUGAGUAACACGUGGGUGAUCUGCCCCGCACUUUGGGAUAAGCCUGGGAAACUGGGUCUAAUACCGAAUAGGACCAUGGCAUGCAUGUGCUGUGGUGGAAAGCUUUUGCGGUGUGGGAUGGGCCCGCGGCCUAUCAGCUUGUUGGUGGGGUUAAGGCCUACCAAGGCGACGACGGGUAGCCGGCCUGAGAGGGUGUCCGGCCACACUGGGACUGAGAUACGGCCCAGACUCCUACGGGAGGCAGCAGUGGGGAAUAUUGCACAAUGGGCGCAAGCCUGAUGCAGCGACGCCGCGUGGGGGAUGACGGCCUUCGGGUUGUAACCCUUUCAGUAGGACGAAGCGCAAGUGACGGUACCUACAGAAGAAGCACCGGCCAACUACGUGCCAGCAGCCGC
rnacentral:rRNA from 1 species